GUUGCAUCACUUGGUUUGCCCAGAGUCACACAGACGAGGGAGGCACCGUGGCUGCAGCCCAGCAAACCCUCCCUGAGAUCGUUUCUACGGCUGGAUCCAGCCUCCCCGCCCGGCGAGCCAAGCCCUGGCCCAGGCAGUGGUCCAGCCGGCCACCUCCCCGCCCCACCCCUCCCACCAGGGCUAAUUAAAGACCCAGCAAAUCAGAGCCAGAGGAAACGAUCGUGGUGGAAGGAUCUGGCUGGACCCCAAGCCAGGCCUGUCUGCUCCAGAAAGCUUCUGCUCCCCCACGGAGGCCGGCGGGAGGGAAGCAGAUGAUCUGAGAAGCAAUUUGGUCUUGCGGUCCUCUCGACAGAUGCUGGGCACCGUAAGAAUUAAUGGCCUGGAGACUCAGGUCACCUGGUUCCCAGGUAACCGCCACCUGGAGACGAGAAAAGCAUUCAUGAGAGUUUCCAUCGUGGAGCAGUGAAAAGGAACCCGACUAGAAUCUAUGAGGAUGCGGGUCUGAUCCCUGGCCUUGUGCAGUGGGUCGGGGGUCUGGCAUUGCUGUGAGCUGCGGCAUAGGUCUCAGACGCACCUUGCUGUGGCUGUGGUGUAGGCCAGCAGCUAUAGCUUUGAUUCGACCCUUAGCCAGGCAACUUCCAUAUGCAGCAGGUGUGACCCUGAAAAGAAAGAAAGAAAAAAAAUAAAAAGAAAAGCAUUCACCACUGAAAGCCAGGGAUUCCUCGGCACCCCCCAGGGGCCACCUGCUGAGGGAAAGCUGAUACCACGGAUCUAAACCUCACUAGGCUUCCUCAUUCUAUUAAUCUGGCCAUAAAGCAGAGUCCCGCAGACAAGGACAGAUGCGGAGCUUUGCCGUGCCAAUGGCAGAGGGUGUUAGAAGAAGCCUCAGCAGCCACUCAAGCCACCUCCUCCAACUCAGAACAGCUGCUCGGGGACAGAUUCGCCAAGCAGGAGGUGGGGGCUGAUGCAGUGACUACUAGGGAGACAGGGCAAGCCGGGCUGUUGCCACAUGAAAUCCAGGGGUCAGGCCCACCUGUGCCCCUGUGCUCCAGGUCGGAACAGAGAGUGCCUUUCUCCGGAGCAAAGGGCACUGGAGGGAGGAAGCAGGAACUGACCUCGGGCUCAAGUAUGUCCGCCACCUGCCUCUGCAUGGCUGGCUCUUCCAAGUUCAGCCACAUCUGCCGUCCUGCUCGUGCCAUGUGGGUAAUGUUUGGGGUGCCACGUUCUGCCAGAAAACCUUUCCCUGCUCCUCUCGUCUGACCUCCCUGCAGGCAGCAGCCAAUCCCGUUGUGAGUCCCAGCAGGCUGAGGCCCGGCAUCCAGGCAGAUCUGGCCACGGCCUUGUGCCAACAGUUACAAAAAAACAUUUGCACUUUGGCUGAGUUCCAGUGUCUCUUGAAUGUGGGAAAUCAGAACUCGGAGAAAGACAAUAACUUCCUACAGUUCCCCAAAGACCGAGCACCAGAUGAGACCAAUGGGGUGUUGGCUGGAGACAAAUGGAGCCGUUUCCCUGAUGGCGUGACAUCAAUGCAGAAAACCCACCUUGUGCCACGGGUGGCUACGGACCAGGGCUGGGGUCUCUGAGAGGUCAUUGUGGAGGGUUGAGCUGUUACACUCCCAGCAUGCUGGCCGGAACCGAGGGCAUGUGACUGUUCUUUUCCAAGGAGGUUUUGAAGGGCUGGUUGGGCCAUAUCCAUAGUGAAAGAUAGAGCAAGGCCAAGGAUGGAACCAUCCAGAACCACCCAGAGCCAUCCAUCCAGGCUACAGGCACUCCACCCCAGUGAGUUUUGGCUUCCAGAAUUCUGGGCACAGACUAUGUGCCCAGGGUUUGAGCCUGUACGUUUUCUUUCUGGGCAGAGACUGAUAAAGAAGAGAAAGGCCAGCAUUUUAAGAACGCACCCUAGAAGUUCUCUCCUAAGCGUGGGGAGUCACAUUUCCCAAAGUGGGGCACACCUACCUCUGAGAGUCCUCUGGGAUGGUUUUUGAGGGCACCGAAAGGAGCUUUUCAAUAUUAUGAAUUUAAGAUUUAAUGUUUUGAAAAAAUAUCUAACUGGCAUGUCAAAGGUGUGAUUUCAGCAAUAUGGUUCCUCGAGAUAGCGUUUCUCAACCUCGGCCCUGCUGACAUUUAGGGCUGGAUAAUUCUUCCUGUGGGGACGUCCCGCAUCUUGUAGGAUGUUUAGCAGCCUCUCUGGCUUCUACUCACCAGAGACCAGUAAGUAACCACCCCCGCUCCCUGGCAAGGUGAGGUAAACCCAAAUGCCUCAACAGGGCUAAACGCCCUCUGAGGGCCAAAGACACCCCUGAUGGGGAACCGCUAGCUGAGGCCAAGUCUCCUUCUGAAAGGAAAGUAAGUGAAUUUAGGAGAUCCGGCUGUGGUGUAAGGGGACGGGCGGGUCUCUGGGAGCGCUGGGACCCAGGUUCUAGUCCUGGCCCAGCACAGGUGUGGUGCAGCUGUGGCAUAGGUUUCAACGGUGGCUCAAAUCUGAUCCCUGGCUUAGGAGCUCCAUACGUUGCAGGCGGCCGAAAAAAGGAAGGAAAAAAAAAAAAAA